rnacentral:rRNA from 1 species
UACGGGGGGGGGCAAGCGUUGUUCGGAAUUACUGGGCGUAAAGGGCUCGUAGGCGGCCAACUAAGUCAGACGUGAAAUCCCUCGGCUUAACCGGGGAACUGCGUCCGAUACUGGAUGGCUUGAGUUUGGGAGAGGGAUGCGGAAUUCCAGGUGUAGCGGUGAAAUGCGUAGAUAUCUGGAGGAACACCGGUGGCGAAGGCGGCAUCCUGGACCAACACUGACGCUGAGGAGCGAAAGCCAGGGGAGCAAAGCGGG